UACGUACCGUCCAAACGUUAUUCGGAAUUACUGGGCUUAAAGGGUACGUAGGCGGCGCUGUCAGUCGGGUGUGAAAGCCCUCGGCUCAACCGAGGAAUUGCGCCCGAUACUGCAGUGCUUGAGGGAGACAGAGGUAAGCGGAACUGAUGGUGGAGCGGUGAAAUGCGUUGAUAUCAUCAGGAACACCAGUGGCGAAAGCGGCUUACUGGGUCUCUUCUGACGCUGAGGUACGAAAGCUAGGGGAGCGAAGGGG
rnacentral:rRNA from 1 species